rnacentral:rRNA from 1 species
UAAUACGUAGGGUGCAAGCGUUGCCCGGAUUUAUUGGGCGUAAAGGGCGCGUAGGCGGCCCGGCACGUCACGCGUGAAAGCUCCCGGCUUACCUGGGAGAGUGCGUGUGAUACGGCCGAGCUUGAGCGAGGUAGGGGGCCAUGGAAUUCCCGGUGUAGUGGUGGAAUGCGUAGAGAUCGGGAGGAACACCCGUGGCGAAGGCGAUGGCCUGGACCUCUGCUGACGCUGAGGCGCGAAAGCGUGGGGAGCGAUCCGGAUUAGAUACCCGGGUAGUCCACGCCGUAAACGAUGCGGACUAGGUGUCGGGGGUAUCGACCCCCUCGGUGCCGGAGCUAACGCACUAAGUCCGCCGCCUGGGGACUACGGCCGCAAGGCUA